UAAUUAUUACUUCCGUCUAAUAAAAGAUGUCUUAAAUUUGUCAAAAUUUAAAUGUAUUAGACAUGACCUAGUGCAUAGAUCGAUGCAUUCAAAUUUAGUCAAAGUUGAGACAUUUUUUGUUAGACGGAGGAAGUAGUAU
rnacentral:pre_miRNA from 1 species